GCUGAGUUUAUCUUUAGAACUAUCAAGACCAUUUUAGGUACAGUUCCAAAGGUCCCUGUGAUAGUUUUGUCAGUGUUUAGGAAGAGUUUGUUUACCGCAAUCCACUUUUCACAUGUGCUCCUCUCCCUACUUCCCUGUAAUGCAAGUAAUAAACUCUCCUCCAGCCAAUCUCCCUACCCACUGUUAACCCCUUUAUUGCCAGCCCCUGUCAGCCAACCGCGCUACCUACUGUUAACCUCUUUCCUGACAGUCCCUAUCAGCCAACCUCCCUACCCACUAUUAACCCCUUCCCCUCCAGCCUCUGUUAAUCAACCACGAUAGACAGACAGACAGACAGAUAGAUAGAUAGAUAGAUAGAUAUGUAGAUAGGUAGAUAGAUGGAAAGAAAU